AACCAUAGAAACCUGCGGAGUACCUGCGGAAGGAUCAUUACAGAGUUAUCCAACUCCCAAACCCAUGUGAACUUAUCUCUUUGUUGCCUCGGCGCAAGCUACCCGGGACCUCGCGCCCCGGGCGGCCCGCCGGCGGACACACCAAACUCUGUUAUCUUCGUUGAUUAUCUGAGUGUCUUAUUUAAUAAGUCAAAACUUUCAACAACGGAUCU
rnacentral:misc_RNA from 1 species